AGUUAUGCUACGGACCAUUUAAAAUUAAUUACGAUUUUCGAUUCAUUCAAUUAUAUUUCAUUAAAAAUACCCCUCUAGAAAAUUCUUUGGAGACGCCUAUUUAAUCGCCUAGGUGCCUAUUUUCGCAGCGAAGCAAGAGGAAAGCACCGCGCAUGUUUCUAUCGGAUCGAUACGAAUCGAUUUCCGAUAACAUUGAACAGCAGUUGGUCAGGAAACGGCUCGAAGGGCGGAUGGCGCGCCGCGAGUGAGGUUAUUCUCACUUUUAAGUGACGGGAUUGAAACAAAUUUUCGAUGGAAAUCAAAUAAUUAGAAGGAAAUUAAGCGUCAGCUAAUCCCAUCUACAAAACUAGAUAACCAAAGUUAAACAUGUCUUUGGACUUCUUCACAUAACAGAAGUGGAUAUUCCGGCGUGCCUGCCUUGUUUCAAUCCCGUAACUUAGUUAUUUAGUCACACAACGUGACUCUAUCACGUUAAUUAUGUACUAGUUAGAUUGCUAGCCACUCUGUGAUGGUUUAUCCCUAGAGUGGGCUGUUUUUGUUGGAUAAUACACCAUACCUGAUUUUACUACAACCAGCAUCUUCACCCAGGACCUUGCAGUAGGACUUACUCACCACAGCAGCCAACCAGCGUUAGCGUGCCAAAAGAAUUCAUCUCUAUGGACUUGCAACCCUACUUUUAACCGGCUGUUGUGUAAAAGUUAAGUUUAUUUACUUUUUCUGUAUUUACUUUUGGGUAAGAUAUAUUUGCUACAUUGUAAACUUUUCGUAUGCAUACGAUUAGGAAGAGUACAUAUAUUUUCGUGAUAGAUAG